GAAACACUCGUUAGUGCUGCAAAUAUUAAAUGAGGUGCAGGUUGCGAAUCUUCACUUAAGGGAUGUUAUUUGAUUACUCACGCUACUGGAUAUGCGGGCCCGCUGCAGCAUGGGGAAUAGGAGGAUACCGCCGCCCAUCCCACCUACGGACACGCAGCUGACUUUCACGAGGCGUUUUGAUACCACUCCCUGAUGCCAGUCACCAAUUAUCGUUCAAGAGGAAAUGAUUGACCAAAUUUGUACCUGGCUCCCGGACUAUAAGCUAUUAUAUCAAUUGAAAAACUUUAUUUUAUAAAAAUUUUAUUGAAAAA